rnacentral:rRNA from 1 species
GACGAACGCUGGCGGCGUGCUUAACACAUGCAAGUCGAACGGAAAGGCCCUGCUUUUUCGGGUUGUCCGAGUGGGGAAGGGGGGUGAAACACGGGAGUAUCCUCCCCUUGACUUUGGGAUAUCUUCAGGAAAUUGGGGCUAUUACCGGAUAGGAGCUCCUGUUGCUUGGGGGGGGUUGGAAAGUUUCGGCGGUGGGGGAUGGACUCGCGGUUUAUCAGCUUGUGGGUGGGGUAGUGGCUGACCAGGGUUUCGACGGGUAGCCGGCCUGAGAGGGUGACCGGCCACAUUGGGACUGAGGUACGGCCCAGACUCCUACGGGAGGCAGCAGUGGGGAAUAUUGCACAAUGGGCGGGAGCCUGAUGCAGCAACGCCGCGUGCGGAAUGACGGCCUUCGGGUUGUAAACCGCUUUCGCCUGUGACGAAGCGUGAGUGACGGUAAUGGGUAAAGAAGCACCGGCUAACUACGUG